GUCUACAGCCAUACUACCCUGAAUGCGCCCAAUCUCGUCUGAUCUUGGAAGCUUAAGCAGGUCGGGCCUGGUUAGUAGUGGGAUGGGAGAACAGCAAAAUUAGAAAGAUGAAUAUU
ensembl:rRNA 5S_rRNA 5S ribosomal RNA